rnacentral:lncRNA from 1 species
AGAAUCAGGAUCAGAUCACAACCCAGGUUCCUAAACUGAGCUUGGAAGGAAGAGGAAAGAGCUGCAGAGGCGGAGACUCUGACCCCAAAGCGAUCGAGGGCCCUCCCCUGGCUUCCGUGUCCCUGUGGCAGGCGGUGGUGGUCGAAAUCUCUGCCCCUCAGAGUCCUGGGGAGGAUGGAUGGAACAGGAGGAGCAUCAUGAGAAGGCUUCCUGUAAACUACGGAGGGUGCUCGUGGAAGCCAGCAGAGGGUGUAGGGUCUCCUGGAGCCACAUCUCUGGAGUUACAUGAAGUUGUGGACCUCUCAACAUGGGUUCUGGGAACUGAACCCAGGUCCUCUGGAAGGACAUCGAGUGCUCUUAACCACUGAGCCAUCUCUGCAGCCUAACCCCAUCCCUUGGAGGCUGAAGCAAAGCAAGUUCAAUGACCGUGCGACCUGGCUCUUGUUUGGGCCUAAGGAAAAGCCGACUGUAAGCCGGGAAGCAUCUCUGGCAAGAACAAGGAAGGAUUAAGCACGUCUGUGGUUGUGCGCAGGGAUCACAAGGUGCUCCUGCAGUGGGAAGAGCCACCACUAGGGGCGCUCCAAGUCUUGUAUUUUCUACCUUGAAAACUCGUUUCCCUGUGGCUGCCCUCCAAAUCCAACGGAGAUGAAUGGCUUUUAGUUUACCUAGCUGAUUUAAUAAACUUUAAAAAUAAA